rnacentral:rRNA from 1 species
AUUGAACGCUGGCGGCAGGCCUAACACAUGCAAGUCGAGCGAGCGGCGGACGGGUGAGUAAUGUCUGUGAAACUGCCUUAUGGAGGGGGAUAACUACUGGAAACGGUAGCUAAUACCGCAUACCAUCAGAUGUGCCCAGAUGGGAUUAGCUAGUAGGUGUGGUAACUGCUCACCUAGGCGACGAUCCCUAGCUGGUCUGAGAGGAUGACCAGACACACUGGAACUGAGACACGGUCCAGACUCCUAGGGGAGGAAGAAGUGGGGAAUAGUGGACAAUGGGGGCAAGCCUGAUGCAGCCAUGCCGCGUGUGUGAAGAAGGCCUUAGGGUUGUAAAGCACUUUAAGCGGGGAGGCGUUACCCGCAGAAGAAGCACCGGCUAACUCCGUGCCAGCAGCCGCGGUAAUUC